rnacentral:misc_RNA from 1 species
AGCAGCCGCGGUAAUUCCAGCUCCAAUAGCGUAUAUUAAAGUUGUUGCAGUUAAAAAGCUCGUAGUUGAAUUUCGGGAUCAAUAUGUUGGUCGUGCCUCGGUACGUACUAGCUUAUUGGUUUCUCCUUUCUGAAGAACCAUGAUGUCAUUUAUUUGGUGUCGUGGGGAAUCAGGACUGUUACUUUGAAAAAAUUAGAGUGUUUAAAGCAGGCUCACGCUUGAAUACAUUAGCAUGGAAUAAUGAAAUAGGACGUUUGAUUCUAUUUUGUUGGUUUCUAGGAUCGACGUAAUGAUUAAUAGGGAUAGUUGGGGGCAUUAGUAUUCAAUUGUCAGAGGUGAAAUUCUUGGAUUUAUUGAAGACUAACUACUGCGAAAGCAUUUGCCAAGGAUGUUUUCAUUAAUCAAGAACGAAAGUUAGGGGAUCGAAGACGAUCAGAUACCGUCGUAGUCUUAACCAUAAACUAUGCCGACUAGGGAUCGGAUGAUGUUAAUUUUUUCAAUGACUCAUUCGGCGCCUUAC